UACGUAGGGGGCUAGCGUUGUCCGGAAUCAUUGGGCGUAAAGCGCGCGUAGGCGGCCCGGUAAGUCCGCUGUAAAAGUCCAGGGCUCAACCCUGGAACGCCGGUGGAUACUGUCGGGCUAGAGUCCGGAAGAGGCGAGUGGAAUUCCUGGUGUAGCGGUGAAAUGCGCAGAUAUCAGGAAGAACACCUAUGGCGAAAGCAGCUCUCUGGGACGGUACUGACGCUGAGACGCGAAAGCGUGGGGAGCGAACAGG
rnacentral:rRNA from 1 species